UACGUAGGGUGCAAGCGUUGUCCGGAAUUAUUGGGCGUAAAGAGCUCGUAGGCGGUUUGUCGCGUCUGCUGUGAAAACCCGAGGCUCAACCUCGGGCCUGCAGUGGGUACGGGCAGACUAGAGUGCGGUAGGGGAGAUUGGAAUUCCUGGUGUAGCGGUGGAAUGCGCAGAUAUCGAGGAGGAACAUCGAUGGCGAAGGCAGAUCUCUGGGCCGUAACUGACGCUGAGGAGCGAAAGCAUGGGGAGCGAACAGG
rnacentral:rRNA from 1 species